UUCAACGUCUAUUUUUAUUUGUGAAGCCGCCUUUUCGUGGCUGUGUCUCGUUUGGAAGGCUGCAUGCUAGGUAGGACGCGUCCUUUGAAGGCUGCAGUAUACCGAGUGUCCUCGUUUAAACGAGACGGCCUUCCUAGGACAAAAAACGGAACGUAACAUUGUUGCUAUGACAGCACGCCACUCUUUAACAAGCGAGAGCGCUUUGAGUGAGAAGGGAACAAAGUCCCUCUGGAAGGGAAUGUAUGAGGUCAAAUUUAGGAGAGUUAUAAUGAUGUAAAGAGAAAAAACAAUAGAUUUUACAGGUGUAAUUUUAGUCUAAUACUUUAAUUAUAUAUUAAUAUAAUUAUACAUAUUAUAUAUUCUGCACCCAUCUACUGAGGUACUUAAACUUGGGAAUUAACAUUACUUGCGUUUGAACAUCAUAUUUACGGGAAAUUGCUGUUAUUUUUUAAUUUUUUUUACAUUUCCGUUGAAGCAAAGAAUUGUGGGUUGUGAGUGCCCUCGAAGGAUACACCUCAUGCAUCCUCCGAAUUCCUGUGAAUGAAGGUCGCAUUCGAAGUGUCCUACUCGGUUUUCUGAAACGAGACAGCCUCGAUGACGUAUGCGGCCGAGAAAUGUGACCAUCCUUCCAAACGAGACACAGCCACUGUCUUCGACAUUCGCAUCCGGCUGUCGUAUUUCUCCCUCUAGUGGCAGUCGUGAUGAAUUGUCAUUUUGCUCGCAAUGGGUUUUGUUCAUUGAAGGAGAAGCUACCAAAGGUUUACCUCAGAGUGACAUUAUUGUGUGUGAUUUUGUUGAGCAGAUGAAUGAAUUCAAUAAAAUUCAGGAUUAAUAUUCACACAGUAUUUAUUAUUAACAGUAUUAUUUAUCAUUAUUACUGUUUUUAUAGUUAAUAUUGUGAUAAUUAACAUCAACAACAACCUUACUUCAGCAAAUAUAAAUCAGAAAUUCAUAGAUGUGAUUUUAAAUAUGUAGGUUUUGUGUGUGCAGAAAUAAAUGACACAUGUACAUAUUUAAUCACACGUUUACUGCAAUUUUGUGAUAUUUUCAACGUCAACAAACAUUUCUGACGUCUUCAUUUUUAAUUGUGCAAAAUACAGAAGCAGCAGGUGUUUAGAAAAAAGUUUAGGACAAAAUCUAUUGAUAUUUCUCACUUCGCGCUGAUAGUUUUGCACGAAUACAUCACUUACGGUCGGGCGGUCGCAUAUGGUCCAGUUGCACGAGUUGAAAUAUUUCAAAUCGGAUUCGAAAAUGUCGCAUCCGCAGACUAUCGGAACAACACCCAGCCCCUGUGCGACUCUAAAUUGGAAAUUAAUGACUUACGGAUUGUCGGAUGCAGUGAGGGUGGGGAUCAGUCGUCAAUUUUCAAUGUUGAAUGAACAUUCACUAUUUGGUCGGUACAUCAGAACGUUGUAAGGUCGAAAAUAGAAAUUAUAUUCAACUUCGAAAGGAAGUUGAUUCAUUAACAUGUACCGCCGACCUAUUUGGUCAAAAUCUUAAUGUUUGUUCUAUGUAUGUUGAAACGUGAUGAGAAAAGUCGGAGUUCUGCGCAUGCGCGUAUUUAAUCUACAACGGUCAGUGGAUGCGACGCUAGAAAAAGGUACGCAUAAAUGUACUUUAUUAAUCAUUUUACACAAUGUUUUGUCAGUCUGUCAUUGAAUAUCACUUUAGAUUUGGAUUGUUUUAUCCUUCCCGCUCAGUAAUUUUGUAAUUAAAUGCCGGUAACUGAGGUAAAUUUAGAUAAUUCAUCACGUUGGACUCAUUUCAGUUGUUGUAGAAGGUCAACUUAAACAAUUUCACUCAUAUUUUCUAAACUUAACUUUAUUUCAUUCAUGUAUUUAUCUUCCGCUCCCGAAUGUCCUGUGACACGUGCACGAGACUGCAGUGGUGCCGCGCGCGCCAUACUGAGUCAAUAAUACAUAAGGUGAAUAAAUGUUAAAACUGACAUUACUUUCUGAAAGACUGUUUUAUUUUUAGGGACAAACCUUGUGGCAUUUUCUGCACUGAUGUUCAUAGAGGUCCAAAUGAGCAUUGCAAAGAGAGACGUCUAGUGCCUUACCCCUGUUUCAUUUGCUUCGUGCUUCAGAAGGGAGGAACUUCUCAACAGAGCCACAUCACUGAAUGGUCUUCUGUUUUUUUCUGUGAGCCCCAGCUGAAGACUGAGAACUUAUAGAUUUUGGCCUUAACUUGUGUCAACCUGGACAGAUGUCUAUUCCAGUCCUACCUACACCACACAAGACUUUUUUCUGCUUUUAUAUGGAUGGCUGUCUACUUGCAAGUUCUCUUCAAAAUUAGAUGCAAAUAAAACUUGAACUGCAAGAGCAAAGAACUUGAUCCAGUUGCAGAUAAUCCCUUAAAUUAAAGGGAUAUUUCACCCAUAAAUGAAAAUUUUCUCAUCAGUUUCUCACCCUCAUUCAUCCCAGAUGUGUAUGAUGUUCUUUUUUUUUGCAGAACACAAACAAGUACAUCUUGCCAUUGCAGUCUCUAGGAACGAUAAUGAUUUCUAGCUCGAUUACACUUCCUAGAUUAUGCCCGUAACAUGCUAAUGCAAAUUUGUCACAUGAGAGACGUGUAUGCAGUGCUCUUGUGAUUGUGUAUACGACUGCUGACCGAAAGUGAUGGUUUAGAGGUAAAAAGUACUUAAAUAUUGAUCUUUUUCGCAACAUUAACUUAACCGUUGGAGUCAUAUGGAUAACGUUUAUGCUGACUCUCUGUGAUUUUUGGAGCUUUGAAAGUCUGAUCACCAUCCACUUGCGUUAUAAGGACCUACUUAGCUCAAAUAUUUUACUAUUUUUCUUCAAAUGUGUUCAGCAGAAGAAAUAAAAUCAUACACAUCUGGGAUGGCAUGAGUAAAUGAUGAGAGAAUUUUCAUUUUUGGGUGAACUAAUCCUUUCUGAUUGCUCCCUCGAAAUAAAUUAACCAUGGUUUAAUUGUAGCAAACAUGACUUUAGUAAUCAUGGUAAAUCUUGUAAGAAUGGUUUUCAAAUACUAUGCUUAAACAAUGGUUACUGUAGUUAAACAAGGUUUAAUUUUCAUAACUGUUAAAUGUUUAUUUUUUAUUUUUUAUUUUUUUUCAGAAGUAACAAUAGUUCAAUUAUGGUAGUAAAACCAGAGGAACCACAAAAUUCAAAUUUUAUUACCAUACUUUUCAUUGUCAUGUGUUAUUACGGUUAAAAUAUGGUUACUACUAAAACCAUGGUAAAUUUUGUGGUUAUGGUUUUACUUCAGAUACCAUUGUUUAGCUAUAGUUACUGUACUAAAACCAUGUUUGUUUUUGCGAGGGACUGCAAAACUAUUGCAAGGGAAUGCAAAAUAUUUUGGGUCCUCCCUCUCUGUCCUCUUAAGGGGCUCCGUAUGUUCCAAACCUGUAUGUUAUUCUUUUGUGAAACACAAAAGAAGAUGUUGCAAUAUUGAAUUUCAGUCAACCACUCACUUAAAUAGAAAAUAAAGAUGCAAUGAAAAAAUGGUGACUGAGAAUGUCAGUCCCUAAUGUUCUUUCUUAUCUCCUUUUGUGUUUCACAGAAUAAAAAUGUCUAAAGUUCAGAACAGCAUGAGGGUGUGUAGGCUAUAUGAUGACAGCAUUUUAAUUUUAUGGAUGAACUAACUUUUAAAAUCUGUAAAAUUGACACUACCUUUAAAUUAGCCUAUAAUUUGUUAUUAUACAUCCACUUGUGAAUCCAUCAGUGUGAAGGCAUUUUUUUCUAUAAUUGGCUAUUAAGGAUUAAAGAUUUAUAUACUAUAGAAAAAGUUAACUCCAAAGAAUUAUAUAUUUUGUAAAUGUAUAUUUGUAUAAAUAAAACA